GGGUUGGUUUCCGCUGAGCUCAGCUCAAGGGUUGCAAAAGGUUUUGUAGUGCUGCCGAUGUUCUGGGUCUUUUAUUCAUCGGGUUUGCAUCAACAGCUGAGGUCCCACGAUGCUGAACAGAAUCUGGAUCUGCGCCUUCAUUUGCUGCAUCGUGGCUUUUGUGAGCAUUUUGGGAACCAAGGUGCCAACAGAAUUCCAAUAUGGCGAUAACGGUGCAUGGGGACCUGUCCAAAGUAGCGGAGCUGCAGGAUUUAUCCCAGCCAUUGCCAAGGUCCUGAUUCUGUCCCUUAUUCCAGUCUUCCUGCAGAGAGUUCUGUCUUAAUUCAGUGCUCGAGGUGGCCACUUCCAGCUGAUUCAUCCAUCUCCUUGGAGACCAUCCUGCUCUGCUCGCAUUCAAUCUCCAACUUUGAGUUCUCAGGAAUCGCCUAUUCUCUGCGCAACCCGUCGAUCAUCGACUGAGAUCUGCUUCACAUUCUUCACUCCCUCUCUCUCGCAGCCUAGCCUCCAACGUAUUUCCUGAAAAUAAUUUUGCCUGUGAAACAGCUGGAAUCCACAACUUCACUGUUAUCAAGUUCGGAGAAAAAAUAAUUGAAAGAACUAAAGUAUUGCAGAAGUCAUGGAACUGGAUGCCCUGCUGGAAGCUUAACAUUAUCUCUCUUCAUAUUUUACUAUUUCUAUUGUUUCCGUGUGAUAUGUUGGCAUUUGAUUUAAAGCCAUGUAAAAUUAGAGCAAUAAAAAAUAAAUAAUACUGUGCCGAUAAA